UAUUUUAUGUUCUUUGUUGAGUUCCUAGUUACUAUUAAAAACAUACUUACUGAAUCACUUUGCUAAUUCAAUUACAGAUCUUCCGGUUCAUCUCCUGUCUAGGCAGGGCGUAGAGUACACCAAGGACCAGAAAGAUUUUGCCCUUACGCUCCAUCUGCAUGGUCCAAAGGCAUAUCACUACCUGAGAGAUACCCUGCAUAUACACCUGCCACACCCCAGUUCAUUGCAAAGGUGGCUGAGUUCUCUUGAUGCCAAACCUGGUCUCAAUAAAAUGAUGUUGGACAUGCUGGAAAGACGGCGUCAGGAAGAUGAGGUCAAGUACGGAUGUGUCACUCUGAUGCUGGAUGCCAUGUCCAUCAAAAAUCACGUCCAGUAUGACCCUCAGACACAAACAAUGUUUGGAUAUGUGGACAUGGGGGAUCGAUUGAAUGAGACUGACAUGGCUUCCGAAGUUCUUGUGUUCAUGGUGGUUGGGCUUCAAGGUUAUUGGAAAGCUCCGAUUGCAUAUUACCUAACCAAGUCCCUCACACCACAAUCACAGACAGUCUUAAUAGAGCAUGCAUUGGAAGAGUUGCAUCGUCGUCAGAUAAGAGUGGUGUGCAUGACAAUGGAUGGACAUGCAUCCAAUGUCAGUAUGUGCACUCAACUUGGGUGCGAUCUAAAAGCAGACCCCUGUGAGCCCUUGAAGACCCAUUUUCCACAUCCAGUAACCAAUGACAAUGUUUUUGUUAUGAUGGACGCUUGCCACAUGCUGAAGCUGACACGCAAUAUGUUGCAGGCAUACAGCCCCAUUGGAAGCAUAAAUGGCAGUAUCAAUUGGAAGUACAUAGUCAAUCUGAACAAUGUCCAAAAGAAAAGUGGACUACAUGCUGCCAAUAGAGUCACAGAUAAGCAUGUGAACUUUUC